AUGCCCAAGGGCAGCCUCGAGAACCACCUCUUCCGAAGGGGCGGCUCGUUCGAGCCGCUGUCGUGGGCGACGAGGCUGAAGAUCGCCGCCGGCGCCGCGCGGGGGCUGGCGUUCCUGCACUCGCCAGAGACGCAGAUCAUCUACCGGGACUUCAAGGCGUCCAACAUCCUCCUCGACCACGACUUCGCCCCGAAGCUGUCCGACUUCGGGCUGGCCAAGAGCGGGCCGGCGGCGGGGCGGUCGCACGUCACCACGCGGGUCAUGGGCAGCUACGGCUACGCGGCGCCCGAGUACGUCGCCACGGGCCACCUCUACGUCAAGAGCGACGUCUACGGCUUCGGCGUGGUGUUGCUGGAGCUGCUCACGGGGCUCCGCGCGCACGACCCCAACCGGCCCAGCCACCAGGCCAACCUCGUCGAGUGGGCGCGCCCCUACAUCGCCGGCGGUAGGAAGCUCACCGGGCUCAUGGACCAGCGCCUCGCCGGCCAGUACCCGCCCAAGGCGGCGCUCCGGGCCGCCAGGCUCGCGCACCGCUGCCUCUGCGGCGACCCCAAGGCCCGGCCCUCCAUGGACGACGUCGUCGCCAAGCUCGAGGAGAUCGACGCCAGAGGGAGCCGCGACGCGCUGCCGCCGAGGCCGAGGCCCGUCCCGGCGACAUCACAAAGGUCGCCGUACCGCGGUUCAUCCAAGCCGGCCUGA
rnacentral:rRNA from 1 species